AAUAAAAAGCCACCCAGACCCUCCUCUCCAGCAAGUGGAAAGUGUGUGUCUCGUCCUCACACAGGAAUGACUGUAGAGGACCACAGGGCGACUUCUAGGCAGCCCCCAGACAGGCCGGCCCUGGGUAGCAGGAACUCGUUCUGCCCCAGCUGAGGUUCUGGGCCUCAUCACUAAUGACCCACAGCAGCCAAGGUCAGCCCUCGGGAAGAUGGAAAAUGAAUGAAGGGCAGCUCUGCCCAAAGCGGCGGACCAGAAAUCCAGUCCUUCCAUGAGACCUCGGUACACACAGAACUCCUCCUACCACGUGCAACCUUAUUCUCGGCUGAGCAACUCAUAAAUCGCAUAACAAAAACAGUGAUUGAUGCGGACUGUGUUUAGUGCCAUCCUUGCCGGUGAGAGGGAGUGAGCCAGCAAGCUUCCUUAAAUCUCUUUAGUUCUCCAAAAGGAGAGGCCAUUUGCCUUCUCAUCUAUGCCGCAAGUUUCUGGGGCUUGCAUCAUUAACCUGGUGGCUUUGCCAAUUCCUUCGCCAGUGCUGGGUCAAAGACAGGCAAGGGCACCAGGGUUAGCCAUGAGUGUGUGCCAGGGGCUGAAUGCAAAACCCGGGAGCACUGGUGGCUGGGGCAGGUGGGCUGGGCUCUGCCACUGCCUCCCCCAGCCCACCCAAGAGGGGCGUGUGCCUCUGCAGGAAAUGGCCUCCAAGCAUUUCUCAAGACUUACGAGAUGUUCAAACCUACACAGUCAGAGACAAAGAGCUAGCUAUAAGUGGGGUCUUUUUCCCCUCCUCAAAAUUCAUCCUGCAGAAGUAGACAUGUGCUAAACAGUGCAUGGCCACACAAAUGCUUGGAUACCAAUGUUCACAGCAGCGUUGUCCUAAUGGCCCCAAAGUAGCAACAGCCCAAAUGUUUGUCAA
rnacentral:lncRNA from 1 species